UAUCCAGCUGCAGCCCCGCAGCCCCACACGUUUUAGGACACACAAUCCAGACCACACUAUCCAGGCCGGAAGUGAGGGGCGGAGUUAGUAAAACGUAACAACAUGGUGGAGAGCAGGGGAAUGGAUGUGUGGACAGCUGACGCAUAUGUUGUGGCUACCUGGUUACCUCCAAAUAAUUUGGACCCAUCACUGUCUUUUCCAGAUCACAUUGCAUUCAAAGAUGCUAUUGUCUUUCCUGCUUGGAAGCCAGGACACUGGAUGUUGUGUUAAGAUGACAGCUAAAAUUGCAGACAUGGAUGCUACUAAAAAACAAGGUUAGUUUUGUAAUUGGGACAUAUGUCAAUCUCUUACACACAACCUAAAUAUUUUUCUUUUUCAUUUUUUUUAAGGAUGUCCCCCAACAGAUUGGCUAUGUGGACUGUGGAGUCUUCAUGUUGAUGUAUGCUCUACACGUUGUGUUGGGAGCCCCCUUUGACUUUACAUCUCAUGACUUUCCAAAAAUCAGGAGAUGGUGGGUGGGCACUAAUUCUUUUGGAGAACUUUGGAGUUGUCCCAGAAAGGACAGAAAAUCUCCAGAAGACACUAGAGCUACAUGAAGAACAAGCUACACCCAGCAGCAGUGAGGAGCUCACUAUAAUCAAACACAUGAAACUGGCUGUAAAAUGGAUACAUGCCAAUAGACAUGUGUUCAGGGGCCCUGUGGAAGAGCCUCUUUUCCUCAGAAUGGAAGAGGAUGACAAGGAAAAGACCCUCCAAAAUCUCAUCAAAGAUGUGGAAGACUGCAGAGACCCAUUCACAUUUAAUUUUUCAUUCAGGGAAGACAUGGAGAUUUUUUUAGUUGAAUGCCAUGAAAAAAUGGGAUUAAAAUUGAAUUCUUCUUUUGAAGAGUGAAAAGUAUAAGACUUUCAA